UGAAUUUCAGGAAAAAAUAAUGCAAGUAACGUCAUAGAAGUUUCAAAUUUUUAAAGAACACUGAGACUUCAGAAAAGGAAGCCAGUACAGGCUGUGGUGCUACCUGAAGACAGCUAACUGAGCUCUAAAGAAUAGGAGCAUCCAUGAUAGAUUUUCCAUGGAGAGAGGGACAUUGAAAAAUCACAGUUCCCAUGUUUCUGCAAACUGUGAGAGUAAAGGAGGCAUCUGUCUUCAUUUUAGAUUCUAACCAGGAUUUCUAUUUCACCGAGUUUGCCUCAAAAUGUCUGUACCGCUGCAGACUUUCCUCAGAACUUGAUAAAGGUGUGAGGCAUGUGCACAUCCGACUCCAGUGGAAAGCAGUCCUCAACCAAAAAACCUGGAUUGGGAAGCCAUCUUUCUAGAGCACUUUGCUGAGAGCAACAGAAGCUGACAUCGACUUCAUCGACUUCACCAACUUCACCAACAGAAUGACUGACAUCCACUUCACCGACUCACUGAUUAACAACAGCUCUCCAUGUAGACUCACACAUGCCAGCAGUUCACAGCCAGAAAACUUAUCUCCAGAGGCACUCACUGUGGUGGCGCAUUUACCAGAGUCAACCACCGUCAUUCUCAAACCUAUUCAGGCCAUUGUCACAAGACAUGACACGAUAUGAUGACGUAAGAACACCGAAGAGAAUUGUUCCCAUGAAAACUAAGCUGAGUGCUUUGUGAAAACUCAAUUAGGCACAUUUAUUUUGUUUAAAUUCAGAAAACAAUUUGAUGAGGUUCUUUUUUUAAUUGUGACAAAAUACACAUAGCAUAAAAUUUACCAUUUGUUAUGAACUGAAUGUUUGUGUCCUCCCUAAAUUCCUAUAUUGAAGCCCUAAUUCCCAGUGUGGCUGCAUUUGUACCCAAGACAUGUAAAGAAGUAAUUAAGGUUGAAUGAGCUCAUGAAGGUGGGACCCUGAUUUGACAGGAUUAGUGCCCUUGCAAGAGCACCCUCCCACACUCUACUUUGACCUUGAGAACAUGGAAACUGA